CACAUACUUAUAUAUAUAUAUAUAUUUUUAACUCUCUUUAUAUUUUUCUAUCUUCAAACAACAAAUACCCCAACUUGUGCAUGGAGUCCUGAAAUAUUGUUCGUACGUGGCCCAGGUUUAUUUUUGAGGUCCUACGACGAUUGGUCACGUUCAUCUGGUAUCAGCUAAUUCAAAGAAAGCUUCGAAGAAACGUGAUACCCUCUACAAUUUCUAUACCGGCAAGUUCCAUUGUCCUAAUUGUAACAACGGUUAUGGGAGGCGUGACACUAUGUUGGGACACUACAG